CCACCAGGGUAUGUAAAUGUCUUUUUUUCUACCAUGUCAGAAUAUUUUUUUCCCUCACUCCUGACAAUGCAAAAAUGGUCUUCAAAGCACAUACAAAGCACCCCGGGUGAGAACGCCCCAUCCUAGGGGAGGCAGGGCCCAAAGAGCCCCGGCCCAGAGGACAGGGCGGCCCCCUCCCCUGCCCAUCCCUGCCCACAGCCAGCACAGCACCCCGCGUGACACCAGCACUGAGCCCCCUCCCUUCUGCAAUAAUCGGGGGCUUCAGCCCCACCCAGGUGCCGCGGCCAGCUCCUGCGCUUCUAUAUAUUAUAGUACUAUGUAGCCGAGCUGCCCUUCCUUCCUAUGGAAGUGGGAAACAUGGUCAGGACACGAGGGGUGGGGACACCUUGUCUUCCACCACCCCCACUCACCCAGUGUCUGGGCUUAGGAUCCUCAGGCGAGGCCCCUGGGGUGGGUCCCCCUUGGGGCUCCUGGGGCCUCUCUGUGGUUCCCAUCCUGAGUCUGGAAUUACUUGCGAUGAGAAUAAAUUGUCUCAUCUUUGCCUGCG
rnacentral:lncRNA from 1 species